NGUAAUAUGUCUGAUAAAAGAUAUAUUUUGAUAAAAUAUUAAUGUAUAUAUUUAUUUAUAUACUAUUACUA
rnacentral:tRNA from 1 species